UAUUCAGGUGCCGCCGGGAUGCCGGCGGAUAAUCGGGAAUCCGGUGAAAAUCCGGAACGUGCCCAACGCUGUGAGGCGGACGGUGCCAUCCUUCGGUUCCCUUUUGCCAGGGGGCCGCGCCACUGGGAAACCGGGAAGGCGGGACGGUGCCGGUGGAUGCCCAGUCAGAAGACCGGCCUGAUGCC
rnacentral:ncRNA from 1 species